GAAUAUUGGGCAAUGGAGGAAACUCUUACCCAGCAAUGCCGCGUGAAGGAAGAAGGUCUUCGGAUUGUAAACUUCUUUUAUAGGCGAGGAAGAAUGACGGUAGCCAAUGAAAAAGAACCGGCAAACUAUGUGCAAGAAGCCGCGGUAAUACAUAGGGGGCGAGCGUUGUCCGGAAUGACGGGGCGUAAAGGGAGUGUAGGCGGUUAUGCAAGUUACAUGUGAAAGCCCAGGGCUUAACUCUGGAACUGCAUUGAAAACUGCAUAACUAGAGUGUGGGAGAGGAAAGUGGGAUUCCUAGUGUAGCGGUGGAAUGCGUAGAUAUUAGGAGGAACACCAGUGGCGAAGGCGGCUUUCUGGACCACAACUGACGCUGAGGCUCGAAAGCGUGGGGAGCAAACA
rnacentral:rRNA from 1 species